rnacentral:lncRNA from 1 species
AUCCGCGGGAGUGGGGUAGGAAUAGAGCCCUGAGGGACAGGGACUAUGGCGACGCGGGGGUGGGAGGUACAGAGAGGGGUGUCGAGCCUGGAGCAGGGCUAUGGCAGGGACACUCACUGGGGCAUGGGCAGCGACAGGCGAAGAAGGUUCAGGGCCAGGUGGACAGUCAUGUCUCAAUUCAGGAAAGAGAAGUGCAGGCAGGAUUGGGUGCGGGAGAGCCAGGCCCAUCACCAGCACCGAGUUAGGGGUCUGCAGAGCUGAUUGGAGGGUGGGUUUGGAGGGGCAAGGAAAACAGCAGCAGGCACUCCUGGAGUGGCCGCCUGUCCCCCUGCUCUCAGAGGGUACCUCCAGCUCAGAAGGACCCAGUCUGAGUCCAGGGUUUUCCGUGGAGAGGAUGGAGAAGCCUCAGUCCGCCAGCCCUCUCCCCAGUAGAAAUGCAGAAAGCUCACAGCUGGAAUUAGGGAGAGGAUGGGGAUACUAGUCAGUGAGCCAGCCUCCCCCGACCUAAGGCUAGAGGCCCAGAGAUUGUUUUCCCAUUGACUCUUCAUUUUCCACUGCCCAAGGAUGAACUCAAACACAGGAGAUAGGAGAUGAUUUGGAUGAAGUGAUAAAGAAAAGGCUUCACUCCAAGAAAAAAAAGAAAAAGAAAAGAAAAUGAAAAGACCUGCAGGAGCAAGAAGCCCUUUCCAGGGUGUGCUUAUGAGGAAGAAGGGAAUUAUGGUGAUAGCUACCACUUAAGCACUUACCUUGUUCCAGGUGCAAUAACGGUGUUUUACAGGCAUUAUUUUAUUUAGUCCCCCAAAAUAAAGCUAUUACGUACCUUUUUAUCAUUACCCCUAAUAAAACUAAUGAUUAGACUGUUUAAAAACCUACCUGGGUCAUACGGACAGUUACCAGUGGACCCAAGAUUCAAACCUUUGUAUUUCAGAGUCCAGAAUAUAUAUUUUUACCCCUACUUUGUAGGAUAAGAAAAUGCAGCCCAGUCAACCAGCCAAGGUCUACCAUUUGCUAUAGGACACGAGAUGACCAAGGUUUCACAUAAUAAUGGUAAUUCAGUUCUGCACAUUAGCUCUCCCUGCCAUCAUCCAUCCGGUUCAUAGAAGUGGACAGGAUAUGAGGAAGGCUUCAGUGAUCACUGUCCUAGCCAGAUUCUGCCCCAGGACCACAAGCUUAAACUCCAGAUGCCCAAGCCCCGGCUUAUAAAUGGUUCCCCUCGCCAUGUUUCCCAAGCUGUGGAGGAGUGGGAAGGUUGAGUGGAGGAAGGGAUAUCUGCCUCCAACCACGCUAGACCCGACCUGCUGUCACCGCCCGCCCCAGCUGGAUCCAGAAUGGAAACCUGGAAUAGCAGGCAAAGCCACCCCCGACACUCCAUGUUCCUCCCCAGAACCAGCUCCCUCUCCUACCAGCUGAAUUUUCAGGACAGAGCUGCCAGGUGGCCAGUCCACAGGUGGAAGUGGAAGGAGAUUGAAAGGACCUGGGAAGAGGUUCAUUGGUCAUGGUGCCUGGCUGGUGCUUUCCAAAGCCAAGGUUGCUGGUGUGUGCCUGACAGUUCCAUAGGAAGUAGGGACUUCUGGGAGGGAGGAGGAGGUGGAAGGUGCCCUGGUCAGCAAAGUGGGGUCCAAGCCUUCUAGUCCCAACUGGGCACAUCACUUCAUCUCUGAGAGUCUCAUUUUCUUCAGCCACAACUAAUGAACAAAGUCUCCUUCAGCUCCCAAAUCCGAAUAGCUUUAAGGAUAUCCCCUGCUUGCUGCUUGUUAUUAUGUCAGGCCCUGUGCUAAGCGCUUUGCAUAUAUUACCUCAUUUAAUCCCCAUUUUGGAAGUCAGGAAACAGCCUCUGAGACAUUUUGUAACUUAGCUAAGGUCACUCAGUUGACAAAUAGUGAAGUGAUGGGAUUCAGUAGCCUCUGCUGCUAGCCACUGCCUCAGGGCAGGUAAUUAUUUCUAUGAAUUCAGCAGGGCCAAGCCAACUAGACUAAGCAAAAGAAAUGAGGAUCCAAAAAAAUUCAUGCGCUUUUUCAUGCGCGGUGAAUGCAGGAAAAGUCAUAUAUAUAUAUGGCUAUGUAAAUCAGCAACUGCAAUAUUUGAAUCAGCAUGAAUAAAAAACCAUUCCUCUGUCUCUUAAAAAAAUAGGCAGAUCUGUUUUCUUCUUCCUCAUUUCUAUCUGAGCCUCUGUACCAAGGAGAAACGGGAAUAAGACAGGACUAGAUUCUUCCCAAACACCAGGUGAUGCGGUCAGUGAGGAGAGCUCCAGAAUCAAAAGAUGAAGAAGGACCUGCCUCUAGCCCCCAAGAGGUAUGCUGUUCUUCCCACACAUCUCAGCUCUCUCCCAGCACUGAGUCCAGCCCUCCACAGAAAGGGGAGGAAAAUGCCCACCCCUAGCCCUGCCCUUCCCCAACCCUCCACACAUCACUCCUUCUUCUUCCUGCCCUCCUGCACAGUCUGAUAAUGGUGCUCUCUCUUGCUCAGCCCUUUAGCCCUGCAGACCUAGGACAGGGCAUGACUUGGGAAGGCUCCUGUGCACAGGGUGCACUGGAGGAGGUGCCCCAGGCCCUGGGCCAUGGAGAUAAUUGUGUAUCUGCUUCUCUUUUACCUUUUGGGUGGGUAGCCUCUCCUUUUUUAAGGGACACUGACUUCAACCAUGUCUACUAAUCCCUCAGUAUGGCUCCCUGGGCACUCAAGAGCAACAGUUCCAGGCAGGGACCCCCACAUCCUACUCUAAUUACUACUGCAGACACAGAGGAGACCAAUUCCAUUCCUUCCCUGGCCUCUUGGAUUCUUUGUUUACUCACCUCUUUCCA